GAGUUUGAUCCUGGCUCAGGAUUAACGCUGGCGGCGUGCGUAACACAUGCAAGUCGAACGGUAUUUUGAAAGGAAAAGGCUUCGGUCUUGGAAAGUCAAGAGAGAGUGGCGAACGGGUGAGUAACGCGUGAGCAACCUGCCUUCCACAAAGGGAUAGCUGCCGGAAACGGUAAUUAAUACCAUAUGAAGUUAACGAAUCGCAUGAUAAGGUAACUAAAGAGAAAUCGGUGGAAGAUGAGCUCGCGUCCGAUUAGCUGGUUGGAGAGAUAACAGCUCACCAAGGCAAUGAUCGGUAGCCGGCUUGAGAGAGUGAACGGCCACACUGGAACUGAGAGACGGUCCAGACUCCUACGGGAGGCAGCAGUGGGGAAUUUUGCACAAUGGGGGGAACCCUGAUGCAGCGACGCCGCGUGAGCGAAGAAGGAAUUCGUUUCGUAAAGCUCUGUCCUAUGGAAAGAUAAUGACGUACCAUAGAGGAGCCCC
rnacentral:rRNA from 1 species